AACAAAAUAAUUGUAUUAUUUAAAUUCUGCAUUUACAUUAUUUUAUGGAAUAAUUUUUUUCUUAAUUGAGUUUUCAUUUCAUUAACAAAAUAAUUAUAUUUUUUAAAUUCCAUAUUAACAUUAUUUUAUUACACGUUGCAGACGCACGGUUAAUUUAAAAGUUCUUUAUUUUUCGUUCUUCAUCUCUGCAACUACUACCUCUCCGAAAAUCUCCCACCCUCCAUUUUCAACCUCACGAAUCUUCAAGUCCUCAACGUCGCUCACAACCUCCUCUCCGGGAAAGUCCCUGACGACGCUCAUGAGCUUCAGUAUCUCUAGCUGGACUCGAACCUGUUGUACGGUACCCUGCCCUCGGCUCUCGCAAACUGUUCCUCGCCCGUACAUCUCAGCGAAGAAGACAAUGCGAUAAGAGGCAUCAUCCCGGCAACCAUCGGAGCGAUUUGGAAGCAUCAGAGCCAUUACUGGAUCGGUGUAUUUUCCAGUUCCUUCUCAAAGGGCGUAAGAGAGGAUUGAAGAAGAUGAUGAUGAGGGUGAACCAGUGAAAAUGUUUUUUUUUAUAUUGGGCCGGUCUGAACUGUCUUGGUUAUUUUAUGUCUUUAUUUCAGAUGUUUCUUCAUGGACUUUGACAAUGGAGGAUUAUCCGUAUUGUAUCGGUCCUCGAGCGGCACCGAUACAAAUCUCUAGCCUUUGCUUCCAUGACAACGGAGGGAUUAUACGUGCUGUAAAGAUGAUCACGAAGCGUUCUGUUGGCCAUGAAGUCAUACACAAUGAUCAUGUGCGGCUCUUCGUUGCAGUAACCGAUCAUGGCUGCUGAAGCCGUUGCAGAAGCCCGUAACCAGUUCUCAAGUUCCCAGACCAAGUUCAUCCGGAGGUAGUGUAUGCUAGAAGGCUCAGCCGUCAUGAGUUUCAGAAGACUGAGCAGGCUAGAGGAGCAAGUCUACAACCUGACUCACUGCUCAUUUGACUGCAAAAAUAUUGCUGAGAAGUUCUAGAUUGCCUAGGACAAGUCUGAGAAAGUGCUCUCGGUUGAGAUGAUGAACUAACAUACACUAAUUUGAAUUGUGAUUCUUUUUCCUCAAUUACGUUUUUCCUUUUCUUUUU